UAGCCAUGGUGGGGGCAUUGAAUGAGCAACAUUUUGAACCUUUCUCAUGCCUCAUGGAACGGUUCGCCUUCAGCUUGCGAGAAAGUUACAAUUUUUCUUCUUAAUUCA
rfam:Ipomoea nil DNA, scaffold: scaffold1298, cultivar: Tokyo-kokei standard.